rnacentral:rRNA from 1 species
CCUACGGGUGGCUGCAGUGGGGAAUAUUGGACAAUGGGCGAAAGCCUGAUCCAGCCAUGCCGCGUGUGUGAAGAAGGCCUUCGGGUUGUAAAGCACUUUCAGUGGGGAAGAAAGCCUUGGGGCUAAUACCCUCGAGGAAGGACAUCACCCACAGAAGAAGCACCGGCUAACUCCGUGCCAGCAGCCGCGGUAAUACGGAGGGUGCGAGCGUUAAUCGGAAUUACUGGGCGUAAAGCGCGCGUAGGCGGUCUGAUAAGCCGGUUGUGAAAGCCCCGGGCUCAACCUGGGAACGGCAUCCGGAACUGUCAGGCUAGAGUGCAGGAGAGGAAGGUAGAAUUCCCGGUGUAGCGGUGAAAUGCGUAGAGAUCGGGAGGAAUACCGGUGGCGAAGGCGGCCUUCUGGACUAACACUGACGCUGAGGUGCGAAAGCGUGGGUAGCAAACAGGAUUAGAUACCCCAGUAGUC